rnacentral:misc_RNA from 1 species
GAUGAAGAACGUAGCGAAAUGCGAUAAGUAAUGUGAAUUGCAGAAUUCAGUGAAUCAUCGAAUCUUUAAACGCACAUUGCGCCCGCCAGUAUUCUGGCGGGCAUGCCUGUUCGAGCGUCAUUUCAACCAUCAAGCCCCCGGGCUUGUGUUGGGGACCUGCGGCUGCCGCAGGCCCUGAAAAGCAGUGGCGGGCUCGCUGUCACACCGAGCGUAGUAGCAUACAUCUCGCUCUGGGCGUGCUGCGGGUUCCGGCCGUUAAACCACCUUUUAACCCAAGGUUGACCUCGGAUCAGGUAGGAAGACCCGCUGAACUUAAGCAUAUCAAUAAGCGGAGGA